GCUCCCCUAGUCUAAAGGUAGGGCGUUGGACUUCUAAUCCAAAGAUUGCGGGUUCGACCCCCGCGGGGAGUG
rnacentral:tRNA from 1 species